CAGACGUGUUCUCUUCCGAUCGGCAUUCAUCGUGCGUUGACGCAUUUGAAUCGCCGCAGACAUUGUUAUUGUUUUAUUGUUUUCCCUUCGUUGUUGUUAAAGUAGAUUUCGAAUCUUUACAAAUACAUUAUGCUCAUACUCA